GAUAAAACAAUGAUAGGAAAUAGUAAUUGCGUAUCUUAUGUACAGAGAGCCGGUGGUUGGUGCGAAUCGGUAUAAGACGUGAUGAAUCCAUCCUAGAGUGGUAUAUCGAAUCUUGUAGUAGAUAUACUCGGUCUUGCAAGCCGUUAUCUUGUAAUUAAGCCGGAAGAAAAAUAUUAUUCUUCAACUAGGGUGGUAUCGCGGGAAGACUCUCGUCCCUACU
rnacentral:ncRNA from 1 species